rnacentral:rRNA from 1 species
GACGAACGCUGGCGGCGCGCCUCAUACAUGCAAGUCGAGCGUGAAGCGGGACUUCGGUCCCGUGGAAAGCGGCGAACGGGUGCGUAACACGUGAGCAACCUGCCCCGAAGACCGGGAUAACCCGAGGAAACUCGGGCUAAUACCGGAUGUCCUCCUCCGGCCGCAUGACUGGAAGAGGAAAUGUUCAGGCGCUUCGGGAUGGGCUCGCGGUCUAUCAGCUUGUUGGUGGGGUAACGGCCUACCAAGGCGACGACGGAUAGCUGGUCUGAGAGGACGAUCAGCCACACUGGGACUGAGACACGGCCCAGACUCCUACGGGAGGCAGCAGUAGGGAAUCUUGCGCAAUGGGGGAAACCCUGACGCAGCGACGCCGCGUGCGGGAUGAAGGCCUUCGGGUUGUAAACCGCUUUCAGCAGGGACGAAAUUGACGGUACCUGCAGAAGAAGGCCCGGCCAACUACGUGCCAGCCGCCGCAGUAAAAC